CUGCAGCACACCCAAGGAUGCUGGAGUUGUGCAGGGGUCCUUGUGCCCACCCCCCCUCUCUGGGUGGUUUGAGGCUGGUGCUCUGCAUGGUGGGCUCUGCACCUCCUUAUGCCCACGCAGGGUCUAAGCUAUUGAAGCUCACCCAACGAGUUCUUGCUGUGAAAAAAACAAGCAGCCUCAGGCAAGAUUGUCAAAAAUACCUGUGCCACCAGGGCACUGCUGGCUAUUUUUAAUAAUUCUAUCCUCUACCUCCAUCUGUACUACUACUAUUUUUAUAAUCGCUUCUCUGCUUUCAACUCCUUAUCUUCUUUAGCUUUCCCUCUCCUUUUCACUCUUUAUACCCUAAAAUCUUUUCAUCACUUUUUUUUUUUCUUUUUGGGGUCUGAUUGAGCUUUAUUUCUUCUCCUCUGCCAGAUUUAUGUGAGUUGUCCUGUCCAGCAGCCGUUUGUCUCUGCCUGAUGACAGACUUGCCUUCCCAUCCCCCCAAAUCAGAUUCAUGGCUGUUCUUUAAGGCCCUUUAAUAUUUUAAUACUCUGACUAUAAAUUUCAUUUUCUUUAAGCUUCAAUCCUUCUGUGGGCCUUCCCGCGGCUGGGUCGGUGGCUGCUCCCCGACGUGAUUUGCGGUGUGUCACAGGCAGCGUUUGGGGUGGCUUUGCUCCGUGCACGGGAGCGGAGGACAGGGGAGGGAGUGUAGCAGGAAUUCGCUUUUCCUUAAGCUCAGACAAUUCUUCAAAACUUGACAGGAAUUGACUUUUUUUUUUUUUUUUGCUUCCAAGCUGUGAUUUGUUGUGGGCUUGUGGUGCUUUUUAUUAAAAUGCUCUCGUAGAGUGCUUAAAAAGGUUGGCUUUACACAGCCCCAGCUUCCUUCUUUAAUAAAUGCAGCCUUGGCUUACAGUUUUUCCCUCUGAUGUGUCAGCUGGGGAACUUGCUCUCCAUCUCAAAUACACCCAGACUGCUUAAAUCAUCCUUAUUUCUCUCGGAGGGAGAGAGACUUUCUGCUCUCAGAAACUUUUCAUACCCUAAGUUAAUAAAACUUCUCUGCUGAAAAGGACAGAUGUGACACUGUGCUGAGGAUUUCAUGGCCAAGCGCUGGAUUAUUGCUGUGGUGUAAAAGGCUCCCCAGCUCUGGGCUCUGCUGAGCACCCACUGGAGCAGCUGAUGUAAGGCUGAAAGGACACAGUGUGGACAGAGCAGUGUGACACCAGCUGCGGUGGGGUGCCUGUGCUCAGCUCACCAGGAGUCAGCGCUUGGGGGUUCACCAACACCUUUUGUGUCCAGGAGUUUCACAGAGGGAACUGCGAUCAGCAAACCUAAUCUAUUUGCAGAGGAGGAUGCAAUGAGUUGAAUGCACUGAUGACUUUUUUUUUUUUUCCCUGUUGAAGUUACAAUCAAACACAGUUUUCUGUAGAAG